rnacentral:rRNA from 1 species
UAAGACGAACCGUGCGAACGUUGUUCGGAAUCACUGGGCUUAAAGGGCGCGUAGGCGGGCCGUCAAGUCCGGGGUGAAAGCCCCCAGCUCAACUGGGGAAGUGCCUCGGAUACUGCCGGCCUCGAGGGAGGUAGGGGCGUGCGGAACUUCCGGUGGAGCGGUGAAAUGCGUAGAUAUCGGAAGGAACACCGGUGGCGAAAGCGGCGCGCUGGACCUCUUCUGACGCUGAGGCGCGAAAGCCAGGGGAGCGAACGGGAUUAGAUACCCCGGUAGUCCUGGCCCUAAACGUUGGGUACUAGGUAGUGGACUUACAUGGGUUCACUGCCGAAGCAAAAGUGUUAAGUACCCCGCCUGGGGAGUAUGGUCGCAAGGCUG